rnacentral:rRNA from 1 species
GAUGAACGCUGGCGGCGUGCCUAACACAUGCAAGUCGAGCGAAGCACUUACUUUAGAUUUCUUCGGAAUGACGAAGUUUGUGACUGAGCGGCGGACGGGUGAGUAACGCGUGGGCAACCUGCCCUGUACAGGGGGAUAACAGUUAGAAAUGACUGCUAAUACCGCAUAAGCCCACAGCUUCGCAUGAAGCAGUGGGAAAAACUCCGGUGGUACAGGAUGGGCCCGCGUCUGAUUAGCUAGUUGGUAAGGUAACGGCUUACCAAGGCGACGAUCAGUAGCCGACCUGAGAGGGUGACCGACCACAUUGGGACUGAGACACGGCCCAAACUCCUACGGGAGGCAGCAGUGGGGAAUAUUGCACAAUGGGGGAAACCCUGAUGCAGCGACGCCGCGUGAGCGAUGAAGUAUUUCGGUAUGUAAAGCUCUAUCAGCAGGGAAGAAAGUGACGGUACCUGACUAAGAAGCCCCGGCUAACUACGUG